rnacentral:rRNA from 1 species
UACGUAGGGUGCAAGCGUUGUCCGGAAUUAUUGGGCGUAAAGAGCUCGUAGGCGGUCUGUCGCGUCGGCUGUGAAAACCCGGGGCUCAACCCCGGGCCUGCAGUCGAUACGGCAGACUAGAGUGCGGUAGGGGAGACUGGAAUUCCUGGCGUAGCGGUGAAAUGCGCAGAUAUCAGGAGGAACACCGGUGGCGAAGGCGGGUCUCUGGGCCGUAACUGACGCUGAGGAGCGAAAGCGUGGGGAGCGAACAGG